rnacentral:rRNA from 1 species
CUACGGGAUGCACCAGUGGGGAAUAUUGCACAAUGGGCGCAAGCCUGAUGCAGCCAUGCCGCGUGUAUGAAGAAGGCCUUCGGGUUGUAAAGUACUUUCAGCGGGGAGGAAGGGAGUAAAGUUAAUACCUUUGCUCAUUGACGUUACCCGCAGAAGAAGCACCGGCUAACUCCGUGCCAGCAGCCGCGGUAAUACGGAGGGUGCAAGCGGUAAUCGGAAUUACUGGGCGUAAAGCGCACGCAGGCGGUUUGUUAAGUCAGAUGUGAAAUCCCCGGGCUCAACCUGGGAACUGCAUCUGAUACUGGCAAGCUUGAGUCUCGUAGAGGGGGGUAGAAUUCCAGGUGUAGCGGUGACAUGCGUAGAGAUCUGGAGGAAUACCGGUGGCGAAGGCGGCCCCCUGGACGAAGACUGACGCUCAGGUGCGAAAGCGUGGGGAGCAAACAGGAUUAGAUACCCUCGUAGUC